CUGACCUCAGGGGAUCCUCCUGCCUCAGCCUCCCAAAGUGCUGGGAUUACAGACGUGAGCCAUCGCACCUGGCCACAAAGCACUUUUAGACAUGUUUUCUCUCUCACGCUCCUAUGUUCUCAUUUUACAGAUGAGAAAGCUAUGUUCAGGGAGCUUGGGCCACUGUCCAAAGCCAUGCAGCUGUUUGGCCGUGGACUUGGUUGUUGAAUCCAGGAAUUCAGCUUUUAGAAUUAACCUCUUGUCUGUGUUGAGAGGCAAAUGGUUCGUAAAGUAUUUUCACUCAAAACGCUUAGCCUCCCUACGGUGCCAAAUACUAUAACAGGCAAAAAGAGUGUCCCGGGGGUUGACCAAGGUCCAUCUGGCUGGAGCUUCUCAUGCCCCUAAAUGGUCUUAUGGCCAGUCCCAGGUGCACUGUGGAAGUCUCAAAAGUAGACAUUUAACAUGCAACUUUAAGCUGCUGUCCUGUUAUUGGACCACAGUCCCUCUAAUUUUUUAAAAUAAAUCCUGUAAUUGCUUCGUGGAAAGAACAAUUAUAUUGCAAGACACUGCCAUCUGUGGAAGGACAUUAAAAUACAAUGAAGUGGCCAGGCAUGGUGGCUCACGCCUGUAAUCCCAGCACUUUGGGAGGCCGAGGUGGGUGGAUCACUUAAGGCCAGGAGUUCGAGACCAGCCUCGCCAACACGGUGAAACCCCAUUUCUACUAAAAACACAAAAAUUAGCUGGGUGUAGUGGCGCGCGCUUGUAGUCCCAGCUACCUGGGAAGCUGAGGCAGGAGAAUCACUUGAACCUGGGACGUGGAGGUUGCAGCGAGACAAGAUCACACCACUGAACUCCGGCCCAGGCGACAAGAGUGAAACUCCAUCUCCCCCCCGCCAAAAAAAAAAAAAAAAAACUUCAGGGUAUGUGUGUGUAUAUUUCAAAUGGUUGAACUGUUCAUUAAAAACAUUUCAAAUAUGCCAUGAAAUCCUAUUUGGAGGCAUUUCUUCAUGUUGUACCACACAUGAGAAAGCAUCAAAAAACAAUUGGUGGCCAGGUGAGACACCGCGCCCGGCCGGCAUGAGAUAACAAUUCUGAAUGAAGACGCUGUUGAACAUCUUGGUUGUGAUACUGGCUACAUAGCUGCAUGUUUGUCACACCUGUUCUCUUUAUUUAUUUUUAUUUAUUUAUCUUAGAGACAGGGUCUCCCUCUGUCACCCAGGCUGAAGUACAAUGGUGCAAUCACGGCUCACUGCAGCCUUGACCUCCUAGGUUCAAGCGAUCCUCCCACUUCAGCCUCCCGAGUAGCUGAGACAACAGGUGCACGCUACCACGCCCGGCUAAUUUUUCUAUUUUUGUAGAGAUGUGCUAUGUUUCCCAGGCUGGUCUCGAAUUCCUGGGUUCAAGCAAUCCUCCCACCUCAGCCUCCCAAAGUGCUGAGAUUACAGGUGUGAGUCACCUUGCCCGGCCAAACCUGUCCUCUUUAUUAAAAAUGCAUUUUAUUGUAUAUAUAUUACACCUCGAAUAAACUUUAAAAAUAAAGAAUUCGGGUCACCAAAGAUUUCUUUUUCAUAAUAUAAUUCAUUGUUGUCAAAAAAUGCCAGGGAAUGGAUCACCUUACAACUGCUAGAAUAGCUAUCAUCAAAAAGACGAAAGGUAACAAACGUUGGCAAGGAUUUGAAGAGAACACUUAUACACUACUGAUGGUAAUUUUAAUUAGUAUAGCCAUUAUAGAAAAUGGUAUGGAAGUUCCAAAGAAAAAUUUAAAAAUAAAACUACCAGGUGAUCCAGGAAUCCCACUUCUGGGUCUUUAUCCAAAGGAAUUGAAGUCAGCACGUCAGGCCGGGCAUAGUGGCUCACGCCUGUAAUUCUAGCACUUUGGGAGGCUGAGG
rnacentral:lncRNA from 1 species